GCUAGCUACAGGCUUAACACAUGCAAGUCGAGGGGUAGCAGGGUAGCAAUACCGCUGACGACCGGCGCACGGGUGAGUAACACGUAUCCAACCUUCCCAUAACUCGGGGAUAGCCUUUCGAAAGAAAGAUUAAUACCCGAUAGUACUUUAUUAAGGCAUCUUAAGAAAGUUAAAGAUUUAUUGGUCAUGGAUGGGGAUGCGUUCCAUUAGAUAGUUGGUGAGGUAACGGCUCACCAAGUCUUCGAUGGAUAGGGGUUCUGAGAGGAAGGUCCCCCACAUUGGUACUGAGACACGGACCAAACUCCUACGGGAGGCAGCAGUGAGGAAUAUUGGUCAAUGGGCGAGAGCCUGAACCAGCCAAGUAGCGUGAAGGAUGACGG
rnacentral:rRNA from 1 species